rnacentral:rRNA from 1 species
GAUGAACGCUGGCGGCGUGCCUAAUACAUGCAAGUCGAGCGAACAGACGAGGAGCUUGCUCCUCUGACGUUAGCGGCGGACGGGUGAGUAACACGUGGAUAACCUACCUAUAAGACUGGGAUAACUUCGGGAAACCGGAGCUAAUACCGGAUAAUAUAUUGAACCGCAUGGCUCAAUAGUGAAAGACGGUUUUGCUGUCACUUAUAGAUGGAUCCGCGCCGCAUUAGCUAGUUGGUAAGGUAACGGCUUACCAAGGCGACGAUGCGUAGCCGACCUGAGAGGGUGAUCGGCCACACUGGAACUGAGACACGGUCCAGACUCCUACGGGAGGCAGCAGUAGGGAAUCUUCCGCAAUGGGCGAAAGCCUGACGGAGCAACGCCGCGUGAGUGAUGAAGGUCUUCGGAUCGUAAAACUCUGUUAUUAGGGAAGAACAAAUGUGUAGUAACUAUGCACGUCUUGACGGUACCUAAUCAGAAAGCCACGGCUAACUACGUG